GAAUCAUGUCGCUUUAAGAAAAAAUCGCGGCCAGCGCCUAGCGGUCAUGCCGCGCCUCUCCGGCGAGCAGCGCACACACUCCGCCGGGCUCCCGCGCGAGCUGUGCUGCAGUGUGUGCGCGUGCAGCACUGCAGAGCCCGCGCCCGGAGCCGCACGCACCGCGCGGGCAGCCGCGCUGCGGGGUCCAUUCUGUUAAUACAGCAAGGAGAGCUGUGAAAAACACCCAGGUAACUAAAUGUUCUACAUUGUAUAACAGUGUGUCCUCAGAGUCAGUUUAAUAUAUUCAUGCACUCAGUGAAGAAAAUAACAGAA
rnacentral:lncRNA from 1 species